AGUCGCUGCACAUUUGUCGUGCAACGUGUUGAGACAAUGAGAAUUUUGAGAUGUUAACUGAGAUUGAGCCAGCUACAGCUAAGAAUAUUGCAUGUGGUAAAUGGUUAUUACCCGUUGGCCAUCCACUGACCACUGGUGCUGCAUUGUACGAGACGUUAUUUACAUUUGUGGAGUAAACUAAGAAGCUGAAGGUCCCACAUUGGGAUUUCAGUUGUAAAAAUGCAAUGAAAGAAACAGCGCUACAGAAAUUAUUUGGUUGCUGUGGAUACUUCCCUCUAGCUGAUUCCCUUACACUGAUUGAUCUCAAAGUAGAAACAUCAUCCAAACCCAUGAAAUUUCAACUUGACAGCUUUUGAGUAAGUCAUCUCUAUUGAAAGUCAAAUCAAUUCUGUCAAGCUUCAAGUGCAGCUCGUGGGGUGAAUUGACUCAUGGACUAUGAGUAGCACAUUUAUUUAAACCCGUCAGCUACAAGUAUCUGUUGACUGACACAGGAAAGUGAAUUGGGCCUUGUUAUGCAGUUGUCCAUGCAGAUUGAUUGCAGCUUGGGGUCAUGUGGAUGUCUCAGUGUCAACCCUCACUGUGUGCUCCUUAAAACUUUGUGUUCUCGUGGUUUAAGGAACUUGGAAUUUUAACCAGAUGCCAUAACCAUUAUACCAUGGUUGGGUCGCACAUCCGGUUUGAAUAAUGUUCGGAAGGCAUAAUCGUACCCCAGUCUUCUUUCUCGUAAGAUUGUUACAGCUACGAGCACAAGCGACUAAACCACCACCAUUGAACUUGAAAGGACGAUGAGAGAUUCAUUAAAAGAAGAAACUUGAAAGCUUCAAAGAUUUGGAAACCAUACUGUCCACCACGUCCACAAGCUGAGAAACAUUUCACAAGUAAUAUGUUCUUAAUGACACUUUUCAAAAUAUGGAACUUCCCUUCAGCCAUCAGUCUAGCACUUACGUCCAAUUUUGCAGGCCUUUGCUGUGAACAUCAAUAACAUUCACUAAUUGAAGGUUCAUGUUUCCAUUGUUGCUGCCCAAUGAUGCGUGUUGUCCCAGCCUAUGCCGGUGAAAGUUAUUUUUCUUCAAGUUAAACUUUGGCUGUUCUUUGGUGCUGGCGUCGUGUUACGGAAUUUGCAUCCUGUAUUUUGUUCAAUUUUAUUUGUGUCUAUAUCUUUUAUUUGUUGAGAAGGAAGAAAAACAGAAAUAUGGGGAGUUUUAACGUUAAACAAUAAAUAUUGGGAAAGCAACGAGGAAGAAGAUGGCGGGGGGUGGGGAGAUUUAAAGUAAUGUUAAUGAAUAGUGACGUGAAAAUUAAUGAUGAAACCUUUAUUAACCUAUAACCCAACAUAUUAACAUAAUAUCCUAAUACCCACACCUCUAAUACUCACACUUAUAUCCAUUCCACCCCUAUAAUUCUCACAUUCCAAAUACCCAAUCCUGUAUUACUCACACCCCCAAUACCCAUACCACUAAUAUAUAUAUCUAA
rnacentral:lncRNA from 1 species